rnacentral:rRNA from 1 species
CAGUCGAGCGAACAGAAGGGAGCUUGCUCCCGGAUGUUAGCGGCGGACGGGUGAGUAACACGUGGGUAACCUGCCUGUAAGACUGGGAUAACUCCGGGAAACCGGAGCUAAUACCGGAUAGUUCCUUGAACCGCAUGGUUCAAGGAUGAAAGACGGUUUCGGCUGUCACUUACAGAUGGACCCGCGGCGCAUUAGCUAGUUGGUGGGGUAAUGGCUCACCAAGGCGACGAUGCGUAGCCGACCUGAGAGGGUGAUCGGCCACACUGGGACUGAGACACGGCCCAGACUCCUACGGGAGGCAGCAGUAGGGAAUCUUCCGCAAUGGACGAAAGUCUGACGGAGCAACGCCGCGUGAGUGAUGAAGGUUUUCGGAUCGUAAAGCUCUGUUGUUAGGGAAGAACAAGUGCGAGAGUAACUGCUCGCACCUUGACGGUACCUAACCAGAAAGCCACGGCUAACUACGUGCCAGCAGCCGCGGUAAUACGUAGGUGGCAAGCGUUGUCCGGAAUUAUUGGGCGUAAAGGGCUCGCAGGCGGUUUCUUAAGUCUGAUGUGAAAGCCCCCGGCUCAACCGGGGAGGGUCAUUGGAAACUGGGAAACUUGAGUGCAGAAGAGGAGAGUGGAAUUCCACGUGUAGCGGUGAAAUGCGUAGAGAUGUGGAGGAACACCAGUGGCGAAGGCGACUCUCUGGUCUGUAACUGACGCUGAGGA